rnacentral:rRNA from 1 species
GAUGAACGCUAGCUACAGGCUUAACACAUGCAAGUCGAGGGGUAACGAGAGGAAAGCUUGCUUUCCUUGUCGACGACCGGCGCACGGGUGAGUAACGCGUAUCCAACCUGCCCCCAACUAAGGAAUAACCUUGCGAAAGUAAGACUAAUACCUUAUAAUUUCCUCAGAUGUCAUCUGACGAGGAAUAAAGAUUUAUCGGUUGUGGAUGGGGAUGCGUCUGAUUAGCUUGUUGGCGGGGGUAACGGCCCACCAAGGCAACGAUCAGUAGGGGUUCUGAGAGGAAGGUCCCCCACAUUGGAACUGAGACACGGUCCAGACUCCUACGGGAGGCAGCAGUGAGGAAUAUUGGUCAAUGGGCGAAAGCCUGAACCAGCCAAGUAGCGUGCAGGAUGACGGCCCUAUGGGUUGUAAACUGCUUUUAUACAGGAAUAAAGUUAGCCACGUGUGGUUAUUUGUAGGUACUGUAUGAAUAAGGACCGGCUAAUUCCGUGCCAGCAGCCGCCGUAA